rnacentral:rRNA from 1 species
AGAGUUUGAUCAUGGCUCAGAUUGAACGCUGGCGGCAAGCCUCAUACAUGCAAGUCGAACGAGAAAGCAUCUUCGGAUGUGAGUAAAGUGGCGGACGGGUGAGUAAUACAUAGGAAUCUACCCAAUGGCGGGGGACAGCUCGAGGAAACUCGAAUUAAUACCGCAUAAUCUCUACGGAGUAAAGAGGGCUUCGGCUCUCACCAUCGGAUGAGCCUAUGCAAGAUUAGCUUGUUGGUAAGGUAAUGGCUUACCAAGGCUACGAUCUUUAGCUGGUUUGAGAGGAUGACCAGCCACAUCGGGACUGAGACACGGCCCGGACUUCUACGGAAGGCAGCAGUAGGGAAUAUUGGACAAUGAGCGAAAGCUUGAUCCAGCUAUGCCGCGUGUGCGAUGACGGCCCUCGGGUUGUAAAGCACUUUAGGUAACGAGGAAAAGUUAAGUGUUAAUACCACUUAACCAUGACGUUAAUUACAGAAUAAGCACCGGCUAAAUCCGUGCCAGCCGCCGCGGUAAUAC